GUCCUGCUAGCUCAGUGGUAGAGCAUUUCACUUUUAAUGAAGGGGUCCCGCGUUCGAGUCGCGGGCAGGGCACCA
rnacentral:tRNA from 1 species